GUCACAUUAUAGCAUUACAAAUACCUAAUAUAAGCUGGUUGUUUAAAUUGUCAAUGGGUAAUUAUGUGAAUGUUGCCAAAUCCUAAAAGCAAUACGAAUUGCCCAAGACUGAACACGCAUAUAAGAUAAAGUGAGUAAUAAAUAGAUUUUCGGUUAUUAGAACAUUGUCUUACUCUUUUGCUGAGUAAUUAGAUACUGCGAAGACUGAUUUAUCUGAUUAAUAUUCAUUAAUUCAUAGAUAUGAGAACACCAGGGCAAUUG
ensembl:lncRNA